GACGAACGCUGGCGGCGUGCUUAACACAUGCAAGUCGAACGAGAGCGUAGAGAAAGCUUGCUUUUUCUACAAUCUAGUGGCAAACGGGUGAGUAACGCGUAAACAACCUGCCCUACGGAUGGGGACAACAGCUGGAAACGGCUGCUAAUACCGAAUACGUUCCGAAAGUCGCAUGACUAUCGGAAGAAAGGAUGGCCUCUAUUUAUAAGCUAUCGCCGGAGGAGGGGUUUGCGUCUGAUUAGCUAGUUGGAGGGGUAACGGCCCACCAAGGCGACGAUCAGUAGCCGGUCUGAGAGGAUGAACGGCCACAUUGGAACUGAGACACGGUCCAGACUCCUACGGGAGGCAGCAGUGGGGAAUCUUACGCAAUGGGCGAAAGCCUGACGGAGCAACGCCGCGUGAGUGAAGACGGCCUUCGGGUUGUAAAGCUCUGUUAUACGGGACGAAUAAUCUUGUGGUUAAUACCCAUGAGAAGUGACGGUACCGUAAGAGAAAGCCACGGCUAACUACGUG
rnacentral:rRNA from 1 species